CCUGGAAACAGAUGCUAAUACCGGAUAACAAUAGAUGAUGCCUAUCAACUGUUUAAAAGAUGGUUCUGCUAUCACUCUUGGAUGGACCUGCGGUGCAUUAGCUAGUUGGUAGGGUAACGGCCUACCAAGGCGAUGAUGCAUAGCCGAGUUGAGAGACUGAUCGGCCACAUUGGGACUGAGACACGGCCCAAACUCCUACGGGAGGCAGCAGCG
rnacentral:rRNA from 1 species